GUGGCGUUCCAUAUCUUUGCAUCGGAACUAAUCACAUUUAUUUAAAAAAAAACAGUUGUUUGCAUGACACGGGUAGUGUUCUUCUCAUAUAUUUUAUGAUAGUAUGAUACUAAACCCCUAACGAGAGGGAUUGUGCCUGAUAUUCAUAUAAUGAGAAAUAAUCUUUCAAUCAGUUUAAUUGGGGUCUGGAGCUGGCUGGCAAGCUACUGCUAGUAGUCUGUUGUUAUUUAUGUAUUAUUGUCAUUUUGUUUAUUUCCCUUUGUUACAUCUUCUGACAUCGGACUCGGACUUGUCUUGAACUGAAUGUUAAUGUGCGUAUUGUUAUGCUUUUACUUUUCUACAUGGGCUAGAGUUAUAGGGGGAGGGUUGAGAUCUCAUAAACAUGUUUAACCAAGUCAGGAGCCGCUGGCCUUUGUUAGUCUUGUG
rnacentral:lncRNA from 1 species